GCAAGUCGAACGCGAAAGUUCUUCGGAGCGAGUAGAGUGGCGGACGGGUGAGUAACGCGUGGGAAUCUGCCUAAUAGUGGGGGAAAACCAGUGGAAAAGUUGGCUAAUACCGCAUACGCCCUAUGGGGGAAAGACUUCGGUCGCUAUUAGAUGAGCCCGCGUCAGAUUAGCUUGUUGGUGGGGUAAAAGCCUACCAAGGCAACGAUCUGUAGCUGGUCUGAGAGGAUGAUC
rnacentral:rRNA from 1 species